rfam:Camelus ferus unplaced genomic scaffold scaffold669, whole genome shotgun sequence.
GAGGGUAUAGCUCAGUGAUACAGCAUGGGCAUAGCAUGCACAAGGUCCUGGGUUCAAUCCUCAGUGCCUCCA